AAGACUAUACUUCACAGGAUCAUUUCUGUAGUAAGUCUUCAUUACUUUCCGAUGAAAAUUGGAAUUUUUACACCUGU